CCUACGGGUUGCACCAGUGGGGAAUAUUGCACAAUGGGCGCAAGCCUGAUGCAGCCACGCCGCGUGUAUGAAGAAAGCCUUCGGGUUGUAAAGUACUUUCAGCGGGGAGGAAGGCGAUAAGGUUAAUAACCUUGCCGAUUGACGUUACCCGCAGAAGAAGCACCGGCUAACUCCGUGCCAGCAGCCGCGGUAAUACGGAGGGUGCGAGCGUUAAUCGGAAUUACUGGGCGUAAAGCGCACGCAGGCGGUCUGUCAAGUCGGAUGUGAAAUCCCCGGGCUCAACCUGGGAACUGCAUUCGAAACUGGCAGGCUAGAGUCUUGUAGAGGGGGGUAGAAUUCCAGGUGUAGCGGUGAAAUGCGUAGAGAUCUGAAGGAAUACCAGUGGCGAAGGCGGCCCCCUGGACAAAGACUGACGCUCAGAUGCGAAAGCGUGGGGAGCAAACAGGAUUAGAUACCCCCGUAGUC
rnacentral:rRNA from 1 species